rnacentral:rRNA from 1 species
GUGGGGAAUUUUGGACAAUGGGCGCAAGCCUGAUCCAGCCAUUCCGCGUGCAGGAUGAAGGCCUUCGGGUUGUAAACUGCUUUUGUACGGAACGAAAAGUCUCUGGUUAAUACCCUGGGCUAAUGACGGUACCGUAAGAAUAAGCACCGGCUAACUACGUGCCAGCAGCCGCGGUAAUACGUAGGGUGCAAGCGUUAAUCGGAAUUACUGGGCGUAAAGCGUGCGCAGGCGGUUUUGUAAGACAGGCGUGAAAUCCCCGGGCUCAACCUGGGAAUUGCGCUUGUGACUGCAAGGCUGGAGGGCGGCAGAGGGGGAUGGAAUUCCGCGUGUAGCAGUGAAAUGCGUAGAUAUGCGGAGGAACACCGAUGGCGAAGGCAAUCCCCUGGGCCUGCACUGACGCUCAUGCACGAAAGCGUGGGGAGCAAACAGGAUUAGAAACCCUGGUAGUCC